CCGCUAUAACUGUGUUAAGCAAUUGGAGGCGACCAGCAAAGGAGAGGGUUUUUGUUGACCACCCGUUGAAGUUGAGAGAGACCUGAAGUAUAGAAGCUCGUUUUGGAGAGGCUAAUGGCGAGACCGGAUGCAUCUUCAAAUUCUUUAAGAAUCUGGAGAACAUUCUGAACUGAGAGCGCCGUUCCUUCAACAAAUAUCAGCAAGUCAUCAGCAAAGCAAAGAUAAACAGUUCAUAGCCAGUACAAAGAGGUACGGAGAUAAAGGAUCCCCUUGCCUCAACCCUCUGCGACCUUUAAAGUAUCCAUGGACUGAGCCAUUAAAUCCCACAGAGAAGGAAGGAGUACAGACACAGGC